AAAAAACAAAAAAUAUAACAGUCCAUUAAAUAAGGCUCUUUAAAUAGUCCAUUUACAGCCAAACUUGGUUAGCCCAAAAGCCCUAUGCCCGGUUACACCCAAGACCCGAUUAGCCUAAACCCUUGGCCCAAAACCUAUUUACCCAUUACACCCUUAGCACAAAAAACGAACGGGGCCCAAGAGGCCUAAAUUGUUAACAGAAUACGGAAAGGCCUAGGUUUCAGAAACCCUAGGCGCCGCAACCAUCCCAAGUGCCACGCCCUUUCGUCUCGCGCCGUUUCAGUGGGCUUCAUCGGCGUCAUGACUCCGGCACUCGUAUCACACCGUAGUCAAUGCAUGAAUCAAUGCUAGCACUCAUCGUCGAGAUUCUCGCUUACCUGCAAAGAAGGAAGGAAACAACAACAAACAAACAAAACAAAUAUGGAAAGAAAUAAAAGAUUUCUUCCCAAAAUAUGUAAUAGAAACAGUGGCUAUAAAAGCCUCCUUUGUAACCUGUAAACAGACACAGAGAUUUUAACAAGGAAUAGAAAAGCCAAAUACAUACAGUUUCUUUUAGGUGAAUCCUCAAUCUUUUAUUAUUUUUAUUUUUAUUUUUUAGUAUUCGAAGCAUAUACAUUCAUAUAUAAAUAGUUGGUAAAUAGUUUUAAAAACAAGGAAAGAGUCUUACCCUUCGAUAUAGGCGAAAAAACGAAGCUUU
rnacentral:lncRNA from 1 species